GCACUGAUGAAGAGUCCUAAACAGGACGAAACAGCUGUCCAGUGC
rnacentral:hammerhead_ribozyme from 1 species